rnacentral:tRNA from 1 species
AUUAUGAUGGCCAAGUGGUCUAAGGCGCCAGACUCAAGAUCUGACCUUUCUAGGAAGGUGUCAUAAUG